GAUGAACGCUGGCGGCGUGCCUAACACAUGCAAGUCGAACGAAGCACCUUUUAAGAUUCUUCGGAUGAUUGAUCGGUGACUGAGUGGCGGACGGGUGAGUAACGCGUGGGUAACCUGCCCUGUACAGGGGGAUAACAGUUGGAAACGGCUGCUAAUACCGCAUAAGCGCACGAGAGGACAUCCUCUUGUGUGAAAAACUCCGGUGGUACAGGAUGGGCCCGCGUCUGAUUAGCUGGUUGGCAGGGUAACGGCCUACCAAGGCGACGAUCAGUAGCCGGUCUGAGAGGAUGAACGGCCACAUUGGAACUGAGACACGGUCCAAACUCCUACGGGAGGCAGCAGUGGGGAAUAUUGCACAAUGGGGGAAACCCUGAUGCAGCAACGCCGCGUGAGUGAAGAAGUAUUUCGGUAUGUAAAGCUCUAUCAGCAGGGAAGAUAAUGACGGUACCUGACUAAGAAGCUCCGGCUAAAUACGUGCCAGCCGCCGCCGUAA
rnacentral:rRNA from 1 species